rnacentral:rRNA from 1 species
GGGUUGUGAGGUUAAGCGACUAAGCGUACACGGUGGAUGCCCUGGCAGUCAGAGGCGAUGAAGGACGUGCUAAUCUGCGAAAAGCGUCGGUAAGGUGAUAUGAACCGUUAUAACCGGCGAUGUCCGAAUGGGGAAACCCAGUGUGAUUCGUCACACUAUCGUUAACUGAAUACAUAGGUUAACGAGGCGAACCGGGGGAACUGAAACAUCUAAGUACCCCGAGGAAAAGAAAUCAACCGAGAUUCCCCCAGUAGCGGCGAGCGAACGGGGAGCAGCCCAGAGUCUGAAUCAGCUUGUGUGUUAGUGGAACGGUCUGGAAAGUCCGACGGUACAGGGUGAUAGUCCCGUACACCAAAAUGCACAGGCUGUGAACUCGAAGAGUAGGGCGGGACACGUGGUAUCCUGUCUGAAUAUGGGGGGACCAUCC